rnacentral:rRNA from 1 species
AGAGGGUGCGAGCGUUGUCUGGAAUCACUGGGCGUAAAGGGCGCGUAGGCGGCCUGAUAAGUAGGGGGUGAAAUCCUGCGGCUUAACUGCAGGGCUGCCUCCUAGACUGUUGGGCUCGAGCACGGUAGAGGCAGAUGGAAUUCCCGGUGUAGCGGUGGAAUGCGUAGAGAUCGGGAAGAACAUCGGUGGCGAAGGCGGUCUGCUGGGCCGUUGCUGACGCUGAGGCGCGACAGCGUGGGGAGCAAACAGGAUUAGAUACCCUGGUAGUCCACGCCGUAAACGAUGGACACUAGGCGUCGGGGGGAGCGACCCUCUCGGUGCCGUCGCUAACGCAGUAAGUGUCCCGCCUGGGGAGUACGGCCGCAAGGCUG